rnacentral:lncRNA from 1 species
UUCUAAAUUGUGGUUGAGGGUGUGGGGUGGGUGGUGAGGAGCGGGGGUGUAUACUUCUGGGAAUGGACUACAAAGGGCCAUGCAGGGGAUGUCUUCAGAGAACAUAUGGGAACAGAGCUCUGUGUCUCAUAUACAUUUCUUUUGACAGUCUAGUGCCUUAAUUUAUAUGCCAGGUGAAACUCUACCACUGAGCUGUAUACCCAACUCCAGAGCUUUGUCUUCUCUCAUUCCCUGAUUUUUUUUUCUUUUCUUUUUCAAAACAGGGUUUCUCUGUAGCUUUGGAGGCUGCCCUGGAAUUCACUCUGUAGACCAGGCUGGCCUUGAACUCACGGAGAUCCUCCUGCCUUUUCCUUUCUAGUGCUGGGAUUAAAGGCGUGUGCCACCACCACCUGGCCAUCCCCUGAUUUUUAACAGUGUUUGUGUGUGUGCACAUGUGUCACAGCUUCUAGAAGUCAGAGGGACAGCUUUGCAGGGUGUUUCCUACCAUAUGGUUUCCUAGGCACUCAGGCUUGGGGCCAAGUGCUUUUAAUUGCUGAACCCUGGAGCUUGCAUGUUGAUAAUGAUAUCAGGAGGCAUCCUCUGGACUCCUGAGCUGUUUUUUCUUCAGCUUGCAUUAGCCAUGUAGGAAGAUUCUGGUAGCUCCACAUCUUCACCAUUAUUUGUUGUGAUUCCGCCUUUUUCCUCUUUCCUUCCCCGUUCUUCCCCCUUUCCUCUUCUCCCUUCUUCUUCCCCCACCUCUCACUUUCUUUUCUUGACAAAGUCUUGCAGUGCCACUUAGCCUAGCCUUGACCAUCUCUGGAACGUGACUCAAGUGGCUGUCCUGCCUUGAUUUCCCUGGUGCUUUGUUUGUAGGCUCAUUGUAGAGCCCUAUUGUGAUCUGACUUUUUGUUUUCUUUUAUUCUAGUAACUAGAAAGCAUAAUCCUGUUGUGAUCCUGACUACAUUUCACCUAUGACUAAUGAUACAACACAAAAAUGACAGUGAGAUAAGGAAAUUGAUUGACACCUGGAAGAGGAGUGACUUUUCUUUGGCAAAAGAUUUGGUGAGCUGUGAUGAGAAUAUAUGGUGUUAAUUGAGAUCUACUGAGAACAGUCAUGGUGAAGCUUUUACUUUAGGGGCAAGGGACAAAGCAGUUACCUUAUAUCAUCAUUUAGUGCCUGUUAGAGUCUACACAGGGAAGGAAGGCAAGUGCUCCAGACGUUGGUUUGGUUUGCAUCUGUUUUAUAGGGAGGGAAUCCACUACAAUAGAAUCUGAAAGAGAAGGCUUCUUUGUUUAAAAAGAAGUCACCUGAAAUCUACUGUUUCACAGACUUAAAGGUGAGGAGUUUUGG